AGGAGGAACAACCGCAGCAGCUCUGGAAACCUGGAGUCAGCUCCCACAGUAACCCCGGAGCUCUCCGUCUGCAGGGCCUGGAGGCUCCGGGGCGGG
rnacentral:pre_miRNA from 1 species